rnacentral:misc_RNA from 1 species
AAAGUCGUAACAAGGUUUCCGUAGGUGAACCUGCGGAAGGAUCAUUACUGGUUUAGCGGACCGAGUGUUAGCGAGGUUCUGCGAUCAAUUUAUAUUUAAAACCCACUCUUGAAAUUUUAUGUAUUAAUGAUAAAAUAAAAGAUCACUUUCAACAACGGAUCUCUUGGCUCUC